GCAUUUCAGUUCUGCAUGGCAACACUGUUUGUAGUGGCCUGUCCGUUAGCUCCUUUGUUGAUGUUCCUUCUAAAUUUUUUUGAGUUAAGAUACAUUGCAAGUCAAUUAAUAAUGACUAGUAGACGUCCAUUACAUAUAAGAAAACCUGGGAUAGGAGUAUGGAAUAAAAUAUUUACCUUCAUAGCAUACGCGUCAAUAAUAACCAACGUUGCUACUUUAAUAUUUACUACAAGACUUAUUUUGAGAUAUUAUAUGGAACUUGAAAAAAUCCGCACGAAACAUAUUUUCGAAAAUAUUAUCACCU